rnacentral:rRNA from 1 species
GACGAACCGAGCGAACGUUGUUCGGAAUCACUGGGCUUAAAGGGCGCGUAGGCGGGCUGCCGCGUCCGGGGUGAAAUCCCACGGCUCAACCGUGGAACGGCCUCGGAUACGGGCGGCCUCGAGGGGGGUAGGGGCAUGCGGAACUGUGAGUGGAGCGGUGAAAUGCGUUGAUAUUCACAGGAACUCCGGUGGCGAAGGCGGCGUGGCUGGACCCCAUCUCGACGCUG